rnacentral:rRNA from 1 species
ACGGGGGGAGCAAGCGUUGUUCGGAUUUACUGGGCGUAAAGGGCUCGUAGGUGGCCAACUAAGUCAGACGUGAAAUCCCCAGGCUUAACCUGGGAACUGCGUCUGAUACUGGAUGGCUUGAAUUCGGGAGAGGGAUGCGGAAUUCCAGGUGUAGCGGUGAAAUGCGUAGAUAUCUGGAGGAACACCGGUGGCGAAGGCGGCAUCCUGGACCAAUAUUGACGCUGAGGAGCGAAAGCCAGGGGAGCAAACGGGA